GCGAAAGUUGCAAGAGAGCACCCGCGCACAACCGGCAUGCCGGACGUUGCCACGGGGUCGCCGAAGGGGCAAGGCCGCAAGGCUGAAACUCUCAGGCAUCAGGAUUGCAACCGGACG
rnacentral:ncRNA from 2 species